rnacentral:lncRNA from 1 species
AAUAACAUUACUACCACCUUCUUUUUUCUUCUUUCUACUACAACCUCUUAAACCUUUCUUUUUCACCUAACAAAACCUACAUGCUACAAACUACUCCUUUACCACACUCACAUUAAACUCACAUAACAAUACUCACCUCUCUUAUGUUUUUUCUUUUUCUUUUCUUUCUACACACAACAUUCUUUAACACACAUAAAUCACACUACACCAU